rnacentral:rRNA from 1 species
AUGGGGAGGUGGAAGAACCGGUCCUUCAAAUAUAUCAAGCAUAGGCUAUGGGCCAAGGUGAGAAGCUGGAUAGAAAAGUGUAUGGCCUCAGCUGUAAGAGAGGUCUUGAUCAAGUCCGUCGCUCAAGCUGUCCUGACAUUCUCUAUGUCCUUACUUCCUAUUACCAAGAGUAAGAAUAGUGAAAGAAAGGUUGCAUGGGUCUCUUCCGACAAAAUGACAAUGCCAAAGUACCAAUGGGGUUUAGGCUUCCGUGAUAUAAAAUUGUUCAACCUGACCAUGCUGGCCAAACAAGCGUACGCAGGACCCUGA